rnacentral:lncRNA from 1 species
AGCCACCGGAAAGCAGUAGAACCCUAGGUUAAACCACCAAAAACCCUAGAAGCCGAUAGGUCACCCAAAAAGCAACCAAAAAUCGUCAUAAAAUCUUCCAGAACGUUCAGGAGAAGAAAAUGCACUCCAAUAUCACGACGAAAGAUUCAGAAAGGUCUCCGAUGAGUCGAAAUCUUCAUCGACCGUGAGGUCUCAGAAAUCACCCCCAAAACCUCGAAAUAGACUUCAUCCAAGACAACAAAGCACAUAGAAACAUAGUUGGAUCGUCGUCGAAGCUCUGAUACCAUGUAAAUACUCAUAUUAGACCGAAAAAAUCAUAGAAAAUAUAGAGAGAGAAAGUAGAGAGAAGGCAGAGCUUUUAGGAACUCUCUGGAACAUGAGAGAAUUCUAUUCACAGAAAAGAGAAAAAUGAAGUCCGGGGGUCUGAAAAUAUCUGGGGACCCCUAUAUAUACAAAUACACAUGGAUCGGGUCAAAGGACCCAAAUAAUAAAAUGAAAUAGGGCUCAGACACGAAGUGGGCUCGGUAUAUACAAAUGGCCCAACAACACAUAAUCAUCACAGCCCAUGCUAUUGUAUACCAGAAAUACAAUAAAUAUACACUGUGU